GUCUCAGUUUCUUUCUCUCCAGUAACUGACAAGCAUAAAUCCUGGCACAAGUCCUGGAGCCGCUCCUGCACGAUCCGCUGUUAGCACACAUGCACGCUGCUCAUCAGUGCUGAUCUCAGGCUGACACACGGGCUCACCGCAGGGCACCGCUUCAUCAGACACACCGCAUCUGAUCCACUCCUCCACAGGGGACAAUAAAGUCACCGUGGACGCUGGCGAACAGCUGACCACUGCAGCACAGUGAUGGGCCACUUAAUGAAGUGAAGUCUAUUGGAUGUGUGUGUGGUGCAUGUAGGAGCCUGUGAGCGCUGAUGCCUUUAGAUGCCCAAGCAGCCGAGCCUAUAAAACCAGGGAUAUGCAAAACAAGGGGGGAAAAAUGAAUAUGCGAACAAAGGCGGAGCUCCUAUCCCCUGGGGUGUGAGGACGAGGACGGGUGCGGAGAGAACUGAAAUCACCUCAUCCAGCGAGCUACAUCAUUUGCAUGAGGAAGAGAUGGACCGUUUGCUCGGUUACGCUCUCCAUGUGUUGCCUGAAUGGAGCAACAUGUAACGCCACAUUAAU